ensembl:lncRNA
UUAGAAUAACGCGCGUGGACUCUUCAAAGGACUGCUAAGUCUUGCUAAAUAUAUCUCAUGGAAACUCAAGAUUUAGUUGCUGUCAGACCUUGAGGUUCAAUUCUAAAAAGGCACAUAUUCAAAGACAAGGGGAGUUUCUUUCUGGCUUAGAAACCUCCUGUCUCAGGCUCUGAAACCAUUUUAGCAGCGAGAUGACUCUGCAAGUUGGAACCAAAUAAAAGGGAGGUGACUCAUUCCGCUCUAAAUUAAUUGUAUAGCAGAAGAAUGAUGAGGCAGUGCAAUGAACUGACAGUCAGACUAUGAAUUUGUCUGCUGCUGCAAACGUAUUUAAUGCUAAACGUAGUCCCCAAGGAUUUGAUAAUGAAUAUGAUCCUGUGAUACCAAAAGGCAUAAUUGAUCACCGUAUGUCAAGUCCAAUUCAAGCUGUGUGAUACUGCGCUCCAAUUUCGCAACUUCAGCAAGAGACCAUCUGCAGAAGUGGGCUGUCCACCGUCUCUGUUUCGCUGGCGUACGGUUCGCCUGUGCAAGGGUAGGAAAGUUUUUUGUUUUUAAAUGGGGUUUUUGUGGUGAUUUAUCUAAAUCUUAUUACCUAUUCGACCUUGUGUGUUUUAUAGAAGUUCAUUUAAGCCAUUUAUUGGAAGAGGAAUGUCUGGUUUAGUCCAUGGCGACUGCCAGAGGUCACCGUGAACAACCAGCUGGCAUUCUGAAGACAGCUCUGUGCAGAUGCAGAAGGCAUGCUCGUGUGGCUGGGCUCAGCGAUGGAUGAGGAGUCACUUACGAUCAAGACUCUUCGAGCCUCAGAGAGAAGCAUCAGAGUUGUCUGCGGAGUUAUCGGUUCUGGCCCUGAAUCCCCUUGGCACUUCUCAGCCCUCAGUGGAGAGAUCCUGCAAAUGGAGUUCUAUCAGACAUUCACUGCCUGGCAUCGUCUCCAACCACUGUCACCACCCAAAUGUCUCUGCCUUGCCUUCAAAUGUCAACCAAGUCUGUUGGUCACCCAAACCAGCAUGCCACGUCUACUGAGAGGCCAGGAGAACGCCCUAAGAACCAUUUCUGUCUCUUUUCCUGCAGAGGAGCAGAGCUCUCCAAAGAACCGCAAACACCUGAGAGGAAGCAUCUGCUCUGAAUGCCUGCCACACUGAGAGAGCCUGGAGCCAGCAGGCGACAGGGCCAGUCCAUUCAGAACUUUCCUGGGACCCUGAGACCCCAGGGAGGCCAGAAACCACAGCAGGCAAAAUGGAGGAAGCAGAAAUCAACAAGGCGGGAAUAGGAGAGAAGACAAACACGGCCUCGGCCCCAGGCAGAGCCUUCCUGUCUGUCCCGGGCGGCCACAUGCCCAAGAGGAGCUGCAGGCCUUUAAAUCGCAGGUGGAGUUUUGGAUUUUAUCUGGCCUAGACAUAUUAUAUACUGAGUUUGUGACUUAGGACAUGGACAAAGAAGUCACAGGAAGUGCCUGACUUUUUACACAGGGCAGGGGAAGAAGUGGUGCGCUGGGCCAAUUUAUAGACAGCAGAGAGCAGGAUGGAGCUGCUACCCCACAUUCUAGGAGUCCCGUUUCCUCACCGUGCCAUAACCUGUGUUAUGGCUGGCUUCACAAGUCGGCACACAUUCAUCGAGCACAUCUUGUACUGGGGAUACAAAGAAGAAACACCAGGGUCCUUGCCCCUGAGGAGUGACGUAGUCUCUGCAUGAGAUUCAGAGACUUGAGUCACUUACAACCGUAUCUGCUGAAGAGGUCUCAUGUGGUGCGGACUCAAAGGGAGAGCCGCGGAGCCUCUCUCCCCGAAGUGCCAGUCUACAGUGCCCCAACUCAGGCAGGGUCCAUUGUGCCCAACCUCUAUUCGUCAUCUCCCAGCGCCGUGCCUCAUCGCAGGUGGCCCUCGCUGCGUGCCGUGUUACCCUCUCGCAGGGGGAGGACGCGGGCGGCAUGGCUCCUCCAAGGUGAAGUGCAGGAUGCCCGUGGC